rfam:Perkinsela sp. CCAP 1560/4 XT18scaffold_2, whole genome shotgun sequence.
GGGAUGAUAGUUUAGGGGUAGAACACUAGAUUGUGGCUCUAGCAACCCGGGUUCGAAUCCCGGUCGUCCCU